AUAUAGAGUUUUCACAUCUAUAAAAUAGAAUCUUUACUUAGAGUUUUCACUUGUCUGAACAUGUUCUCAUUUUGCCAAGCAUUCCAGAAUAUCUUUCAAGGACAACUUCGUUAUACACUGCUUUAACUAAUUUAGGGAGUAGAAGUUGGUUGUUAGGCAUCAAAGCACCUAAGCGAAUAUCUUCAAGGACAGUUCCGUAAUCCUGUGGAAUGCGAGUAAACGUGCCUAGAGAUAACAUUUCUUGUUUUGAGAGAAUUCCCAGAUCACAGAAACAAGCCUGAGGAAGACUACUGGCCUUCAUCCCACGACCACCAAAAGGCAGAAAACGACCACCUAGCAACAAGGUGCACCUGCGCAGAAAAGACACCAGAACGUCACACUUCCGGAAGAGAAGACCCAAUAAGUUGGGGGGGAAUGGGGCACGAAAGGGCGGUAGUUGGAAUAACUGCCGCCCAGCGCGCUGAUUUGCUUUCGUUUCCUACCAUUAAUAAAUCUUUUUAAUUGGAUUAGAAAGCCUAUUGUGCUCGUUCAUAACAAUUUGGUGCCGUGACUCGGAUCGCGGAUCUGGGGAACCUCUCUCUGAGAGGGGCGCCACGAUUCCGCUCCUUUGAGCGGACUCAGACCGGGGUUUCUACCCUCAUCCCGACCGACGAACCUAAAAGCCUAGAAAGCGAAAGCAAAAAAAAAAAAAAAGGAAAGGGAAGCGGGCCCAGGGUACCCCUUAAAUUUUGUGCACAAAGUCCGGACGAAGACGCAGGACGCGUACAACCCGGCGACUGGGUCCUCAUCCGAAGCUGGAAAGAAGAUUCAAUCACCCCAAAGUGGGACGGACCAUACCUGGUUUUAAUCACCACUGACUCCGCAGUAAAAAGGACUUACAAAUAAUUUUCAUGAACACUAUCAACUCUAAGGACAUUUGGGUUGGGGAUAACUGGGGACUGCAAGUACAACUGGUGGGAGAAACAAAACCCCCAGGAUACUGUAAACGUCUAGAGGAUUCAGCCCAGCAGCCCUUUUAUCGGUUCAUCCGACUUGAAAAAGAGCAGAAACCUUGGGAGGGGGAGGGCCAUGCUGAACAUCAAAGUAUUAGAGUAAAGUGUAGCUGGUUAGAUUGUCA